ensembl:antisense Gm11457 predicted gene 11457
UCUCUUUGGAACCCCGACUCCUGUCGCUGGCCUGUGAUUUGGCUGUGCAGCCAGUGUCUCCAUGUAUUUCCGCAUCUUCUCAACCAUCCAGGAUGGCAGAACAAAGGAUUUCAGCUCCUCCAACUUCAGGUCCAAGCAUCCUCUGAAGGAGACAUGGGAUGGACAUUAAAGGGAGGGUGACGGUCUCGUCCAUGUGCCUAGUGAGGCAGAAGGCAGGAUGGGGAAAGGGGUCUUCGUUGUACCUGUAGUCAUCGCUGGCAGCCAAGUCCCGGAUGUCUUCUUCAAUGAGAAGGGGCCCAGAGUCUCGGCCACUGUCAAUGUUCACACAAGCAUACCUUGGGGCCUUCUCGGCGAAUUGGUUCACAGGAUUUUUGUUUCCAUCUGCUCAGAAGGAAAAAAGACAGCAGCUGCCCUGAGCUCAACCCGGAUGUAAGUGGCUUCCUGAUGUCCCCCAAGU